ensembl:lncRNA
GUCCUGAAAUAACUGUGAGUGGUUACUGGAUGAAGUUGCAAGCCUGGGCCUACAGAAAGAAAACCACCUCAACCGCUAUAAACUAGUAAUAAGCUGCAAUAACACUUAGGGCGGUUGAAAGCUAAUCUCCGAGGUGAAGUGUGGCCUCCAUCAUCAUGUCGCUGAUCCUACUUUUACUCUUCCGCAUCGCGUUUUCUUCGUGUUCUGCUAGAGACGGACUGCGUUAGUUUUUCUCACCAAUACCAGCCUCUUUACAUACUAUUAGAACAGCUUUUUCCCAGCUGACCUCAUCUGCAGAGCUGGAGACCCCCAGGGACACUUCCUCUCUCCCCCAAACCGUAGGCACUGAUUCAAUGCAUUACAUGAACACAGCUUUUCAAAUCGUAUUAAUGUCUCUCUUUGCAUACCAUAGGUAGCUUACACCAACGCCAAUGUAAUUUUGCACAUUCUCAAGGAAAUUAUUUGUACAUUCCUGCACACUGUAAAUAUUUCUGUUACUUUUUGUUACUUAGAAU